GGCCUGAUGGUCUAGUAGUAUGAUUCUCCCUUCGGGUGGGAGAGGUCCCGGGUUCAAUUCCCGGUCAGGCCC
rnacentral:tRNA from 2 species